rnacentral:rRNA from 1 species
GGUACAUCGGUGACAGGUGGUGCAUGGUUGUCGUCAGCUCGUGUCGUGAGAUGUUGGGUUAAGUCCCGCAACGAGCGCAACCCCUAUUGUUAGUUGCCAUCAUUCAGUUGGGCACUCUAGCGAGACUGCCGGUAAUAAACCGGAGGAAGUGGGGAUGACGUCAAAUCAUCAUGCCCCUUAUGACCUGGGCUACACACGUGCUACAAUGGUUGGUACAACGAGUUGCGAGUCGGUGACGGCGAGCUAAUCUCUUAAAGCCAAUCUCAGUUCGGAUUGUAGGCUGCAACUCGCCUACAUGAAGUCGGAAUCGCUAGUAAUCGCGGAUCAGCACGCCGCGGUGAAUACGUUCCCGGGCCUU